UCUAGAAAAGAAUCAAAGAUCAGGACCCCAGUCUUGCCUGGGCACCGCCUGCGUUACCGAAGCUGACCGGUGACGUCACAAUGAUGUUCAGAGGGGCCUUGGAACCGAGGAAGGAAGAAUUAGUCGGCCCAUGUCAAGAUCGAGUUCCCUGACGCCAUCAACCUGCGACUUGUAGCUGGAAGGAAGCCAAGUAAUGGACAAAGAUGCUACAGUUGCUCCGGGCCAACGACGCUUUGGGCUUUCUCAGAGGUCAUGGUGCAGAUGAAAGAGCAAUGAGGAAGCGAGAUUCUGUAGUGGGCCAUGGGAACCUCAUACUCGUUUUGGCAAGAAAUCUGUUCAUACUUCAUCCCAGAUCAGCCUGCCAGGAACAAGUUCCCUCUUUAUGUUUUGCAUCACUUCACCCAUAUUCAUUAGUUAGCCAUCCUGCCCAAUUUCAGUAUAGGAAUUCCCAGUCCUACUGAAAAAGCUUCUCACCCCCAGGACUAUAGGAUGUAUCCAGUUUCUGCAAGUUCAUGUAAUUGAUGAAGGAGAGCUUUAAAAAGCAUUGUCUGAUGAUUGAAGAGGUGUGGAAUCCAUGAGAUUUGACCUUUAAUCUCUGCCUAUCCCAGAAGAAAAGGAAAGCCUGGGACAUCUUGGCUCUGCCCUUCCAAUUCAGUUUGGAAAAGCAACUAUCUUUGUCUCUUCCACUGAUCUUAUUACAUAUAUUUUAUGGGUCUUAAUUCUGAUGACUACCAGGAAGAAUCAGUCAGUGACCUGGACAUCUGAUGAUGCUGAUGAAUGACUGAAUCCUGACUAACCUUGACUAUGAGCUGCAGCUAUAUAGUAUAGUCAUACUUCAACUUGUAGAUUAGGUUCUAAAAUCAGUGUGUAAAUCAAAGUGAUUUAGUUAAAAUUGCCCUUGAAAUGACUCACCACAUACAUUAUAUAGUAUUUUUAAGCAGUUGUGGCUGGAAAGGAACUGGGGUCUCUUUGAAGUAAGGCAUUCUAUAUUAGAGAAUGAUGUAGCUGAAGUUGUUACCAUAAAUAAUUAAAAAUAAAUUUUAUUUUUCACUCAA